rnacentral:rRNA from 1 species
UACGGAGGGGACUAGCGUUGUUCGGAAUUACCGGGCGUAAAGCGCACGUAGGCGGAUUUGUAAGUCAGGGGUGAAAUCCCGGGGCUCAACCUCGGAACUGCCUUUGAUACUGCAAAUCUCGAGUCCGGAAGAGGUGAGUGGAAUUCCGUAGUGUAGAGGUGAAAUUCGUAGAUAUUAGGAAGAACACCAGUGGCGAAGGCGGCUCACUGGUCCGGUACUGACGCUGAGGUGCGAAAGCGUGGGGAGCAAACAGG